UCAUACAUGCCACACCUAUGUCAGGGG
rnacentral:piRNA from 1 species